ensembl:lncRNA novel transcript
AUCCCAAGAUGGCGGAGAUCCCCCUGUACUUUGUGGACUUGCAGGAUGACUUAGACGACUGCAGAUUAUUGCCAGAGGGCUGCUUGAUAUCUUCCGGGACUUCGGUAACAAUGAAGAAGACUUCCUCACGGUAAUGGAGAUUGUAGUCAGAUUGUCAGAAGAUGCAGAUAAUCUGCAAAAUGGCUUCAAUGCUGAGUAAGAGUACCGUUGAACGCCUGCUACUCCCCCGAUUCUGUGAACUGUGUGGUGACAGGAAGCUCUUUCAAGUUCGGAAGGUUUGUGCUGCAAAUUUUGGUGAUAUUUGUCAUGCUGUUGGACAAGAAGCCACUGAGAAAUUUUUGAUCCCAAAGUUCUUUGAGCUCUGCUCUGAUGCUGUUUGGGGCAUGCGGAAAGCCUGUGCAGAAUGCUUCACGGCUGUGUCGCACAGCUCCUCCCCUGGGGUCCGCAGAACCCAGCUCUUCCCGCUCUUCAUCAGACUUGUCAGCGACCCCUGCCGAUGGGUGCACCAGGCUGCCUUCCAGUCCCUCGGCCCCUUCACUUCCACCUUUGCAAACCCCUCCAGGGCUGGCCUUUAUCUUCGAGAGGAUGGCGCCCUGAGCAUCUGGCCACUCACCCAGGAUUUGGACUCUGGUUUUGCCUCUGGCUCCCCUGCUCCCAGCAGUGGUGGUAACACUUCCCCUGCCAGGUAUGCUCUGGCUAGGGUCACCACCAGGACCCUCGAUGUACCUUAAGCACCCACCUAAAAUUUCAGCAAUUAUCUUGUCUCGAGUUUUAGUAGUGACCUUCUGGGCAAGAUGGAAUAUUAGAGCUUUAAUUAUGUAAAGAAGCAAAAAGUAAUUGCAAUAAUGAUUUUGAAACAUGACUACUGGGUUAUAAAUAAUGAAGCUACUAUGUCUCCUAAAUUUAGAUAAAAUAUUCAUUGAGAUUAGUGAUUAAAUAACCUAUAAAGAA